rnacentral:lncRNA from 1 species
UGUAAAUAUCAUGCAAAACGUAUUUCCAUAUUAUUCAUUUUGUAUGAAACCAGACACAGAAUAGGCAGCCAAAGCCAUGGCAGGUGGAGUGGGUACAAUGGAAGUACAUGACAGGACUCGAUUACAGUAAGUAAUACAAUUCUAGAAAUAACUUAUGUGGAACAUAUUGCUCCUGCUGCACAUGU